GCGGGGGUGAAUUGGUGUUGUUUCAAAAUACUUUCAUUUUGCAAUCUUCUAAACAAAGUAUAAAGCUUUUUGAAAUUUCUUGAAUUGCAAGCAAUCAGAAUAUGUAUGCAGCGGAAAUUACGUAGUUGACUGCGUAAAGAAUAAAGUCGACUGGAAUGUAAAAGAUAAGGGAUAGAGAAUUGCAAACAUAGAUUUUUAUACUGGUUCGGCCAACAAUUACAUCUAGUGUCCUUCCAACCCAAGAAGCAAAUGCACUAUAAUGGUUGUAGUUUUUAAAACAAAGAAUUUAUAGAAGACCUCCACGUCAAAAAUAUAAAUCUCCUCACUAACUGAUGAGCUGUCGCGGCCCAUACAAAUUUGAUUGCAUAUUAGGAAUGCAGUAUAGCUAGGGAAUGACCCCUAGGUCGUCUCUCAAGGACCAAAUGUGGUUCGAGAAUUAGGUCUAACACAAAGUGGGGGGGGGGUUGAGAGUGUUUUUGCAAGGAGAAUUAAAUUAAAUUAAAACUGGAAUUUAAACGCAACCAAACAUAAUUGAAAACACUGAAAGUAAAUGAAAAUACUGGAAUAAAUCAUUCAAUUCAAUGUAGGUAAAUCAUCAUUAAAACAAUAAGUUAAAAAUACUUGAAAAGUAAAAAUAAAAUAAAAUAAAUAAAACUGUAUGCUUAACCAAAUUAAAGUAGAGAUUUUUCCNAAGCCAUAAAGGUAAGAAAAACACAUCUAGUACCAAGAACUAGAAUAAACGGUGCUAGCUACCUAAAAACCCGUGACCAUGAGCUUAAAUCAACAAAUUAAUCUAAUUGCAAAGUGUUGGCCGUAACAUUACUUCAUCAAAUAAUAAGCAUCGCUGCAGCAACGUGCUCAUCAAAAAUCUCCACCAAAGAAAGAGGAAUAAAAUCCCGUGACAGCAGAGCAGUUGUGUGCAUCAUUCAAUCAAUAUGCUUCUUACUAAAAGCCCAAAAAAAAUAUGUGAUGAAAUCAAAAUGCCUCUCCUGGACAUCCCUGGUCGUGCCAUAUGCUGCACAUCAAUUCUCCAAGCAAAU
rnacentral:lncRNA from 1 species